rnacentral:lncRNA from 1 species
GGAAGUCAGAGGGACAAGAUGAGUUUCCCUGAAGAGAAGCAAAUGAUUAUACUGCUUUUCAUCUAAAGUAUGCUUCCUUAUAGCAGACCUUUAUUUUAUUACUAAAGCAAAGCCACCUUCAGUUUGUUUGUUUGUUUUGUUUUAUGCCAUCAACCUAAGGAGGACAAUCAAAUAACCAACUGUUGGCCUUGGAUUCAGUGUGUCUGCUAAUUACACCAUCUCAUCUUAUAUACCUUCAGACCCGUUACUUGAGUAAACGUCCACCAUAUCACCUUAGUUCUUCCUAUGCCCUUUCCUCUGUGCCACCACAAAACAGAGGGAAGACUUAACUACCAGAAAGAUGUGAACUUCUAAGAAAGAGCAAGGAUUUCAUCUCACUCUCCUUUUAUCAUUAUCUCUGAAGUCCCUCCCUACAAUUCCCUGAUGGUCCAUGCUGCAACAUCAGCAUGGUGGAAGUGAGAAAGAUUGUGGGGAAUCCCGAAAGAGUAACUGAUUGUGACAUUGUUAUUCUUUUGAACUAUAAAAUUGUGAGCCACUCACACUUGCAGAAAGAGCAGAACUCUUAAGCUUUAUCACAUUGUGAAGAUUAAUAUCUUACUGUUUUCCAGAUUAGCACAGAAGCUUGUAUCAGUGAAGAGUAUUUAGGAGGGCAAUAGGGUGUAAAAUGUACCUGUCUUUGAACCCUCUCCCUCUUACUCAUGUUUCCUUCACCCCACCCCACCCCACCACACUGUGUUGGUCAGGUGAUACUAUUCUAUGAAACUGAGCUAUAGUUGUCGAAAGUAACCAUGGAAUGUGAUUAGUCCUCUGUGGGUGCUUCUUCCCCUGCUUCUUCUCCCUUGCUUUCUUUCUUCCUCCCUCCACUCUGGUAAAUGGAAAAGGUGAUGUCGAAGAAUUGAUGCUUGCUUGGACUCAUGUUGUAUCUGUGACUAUGCUGUUAACUGUCUCCUUCUUCCUUCUUACAUGGGUAGAAUUCUUAUGAAGUGUGGCGUUCCCUUCUUGAAAGUAGGUUUAAUGCACAAUGUGGUACUGUUUUAUAGUUUCUUGAUGGUUGUAUAAAGCAAAAAGUUAAUGUGGUUAUGUGUUUUUAAAAGAAAAUAAGUGAUUGGUUAAAAAAAAACUGUUCUUUUUUCAUUAUUACAAGCCUUCACUGUUUUC